CUUUCUAAUAUUUUAGAUAGAAGAAACAUUUCUUCUAUCUAAAAUAUUAGAAAGAAUGUACCCUUCUAUCCAAAUCCAAUUUGCAUCGAUAAAAUAAAUCCAAAUUCCAGUAGUAGAUGAAUAAUUGCAAAUUUGUGUGUGUACGAGAUUAGAAUAACUUCAAAAUAACUGACAUAAUUUUGUAUUUUUCCUGAUCAGAAAAAUACAUGAAAAAGAAAGGAGGUAGAAAUUUUUUUGGAUUUAUGGUUAAAGAAGAAAAAGAAGAAAACAGGGGUUCUGUUGAAUUUCAAGUAUUCAGUUUCACCAAUAAGAUACGGAGACUUGCUUCACAUUUGGAAUUACACAAAAAAGAUUUUUCAUCGGAAAGAGGUCUACGAAGACUUUUGGGAAAACGUCGACGUUUGCUGGCUUAUUUGGCAAA